AGAAAAUGGAAAUAGGGAAUAUAGAUUGAUAUUUAAAUAAUAAUAACUUCAUUAAGCACAUAAAAACUCAAUAUUUUAAAGAAGUUUACAAUUUUAUGUUGGACCACAUUCAGUAUAACAGUGGGCUGCAUGUGGGCCGCAGGUUGGACAGCCCUAUAUUAAAGUCUUCAUUUGAACUUAAUUGUUAUAAUACAGUGUCUCUUAUCAUAUGGUAUUUUUACAUAUUAACCAGUCAUUCUAUUCUGAUCAGAUUAUACUUUUUAAAUGCUUAUGAUGUAAUUAAAGUAAUUAUUACAUAUUAUCAACAAAAUUUAAAACUUAAUAGUUUUAUAAAUUUAUUGAACUAUAUUG
rnacentral:lncRNA from 1 species